rnacentral:rRNA from 1 species
ACUGGAGUUUGAUCCGGCUCAGGAUGAACGCUAGCGGCAGGCCUAAUACAUGCAAGUCGAACGGUGUAGCAAUACAUAGUGGCGCACGGGUGCGUAACACGUAUGCAACCUACCUUAUACUGGGGGAUAGCCUUUGGAAACGGAGAUUAAUACCCCAUAGUACAUUUGAUUGGCAUCAAUUAAAUGUUAAAGAUUUAUCGAUGUAAGCUGGGCAUGCGUCCAAUUAGCUAGUUGGUGAGGUAAUGGCUCACCAAGGCUAUGAUUGGUAGGGGAACUGAGAGGUCAAUCCCCCACACUGGCACUGAGAUACGGGGCCAGACUCCGUACGGGAGGCAGCAGUAGGGAAUAUUGGGGCAAUGGACGCAAGUCUGACCCAGCCCAGUGCCGCG